UACGUAGGGUGCGAGCGUUGUCCGGAAUUAUUGGGCGUAAAGAGCUUGUAGGCGGUUUGUCGCGUCUGCUGUGAAAAUCCGGGGCUCAACCCCGGACUUGCAGUGGGUACGGGCAGACUAGAGUGUGGUAGGGGAGACGUGGAAUUCCUGGUGUAGCGGUGGAAUGCGCAGAUAUCAGGAGGAACACCGAUGGCGAAGGCAGGUCUCUGGGCCACUACUGACGCUGAGAAGCGAAAGCAUGGGGAGCGAACAGG
rnacentral:rRNA from 1 species